CAUAGGGUACCAGGAACAAUAAAACAGGGAACCCAGAUGAGAAGGGAGCUCAGAGCUGCCUUCCUUGAGGAAGAAACAUUUGAGUUGCAGGAGGCCUGAUGAACAAGAAAGUGUUAGCAAGGUAAAGAGUAAGGGAAAAGCAUUUCAGGCAAAUGGAACAGCAUGUGCAAAGGGCUGUGGGCAGGAAAGAGAAUGGCCUUUUGGAGGAACUGUGGCUGAAGGCAGACGCCACUGAUGCCCAUAUUGCAGCUCCUCAAUCUUCCAGUUUCAUCCAUAGCUGUGGAGGGCAGUUCCACAUAUGGGCCUCACUGGUGUGGACUUAGGAAGUCAAGUGGAAGUCGGCUCGGGCUUUGGAGACCCGGGGGAGCCAAGCGGCCUGCACCUGGGGGAGGAGGAAGCUCGGAGGAGGAGCCUGUUGGCCUCUCCAUGUUCCGCUCGCCCGCGUCUCUGGGUAAGAAGAAAGACUUAAAACUGCCCACAGCCUCUACUUACCCAGCACCCGCCAAGCACCAGGACCACGCAGAGCCCUCCACACACAUCAUCUCACCACAACCUAGAGGCGCGGCUGUUACUGUCCCCAUUCUACAGACGAGGAAAGUGAGGCUCAGAAAGGACCAAGGACACAUGGCCAAGGAACAAACAGGAUUUGAACCUCAAUUUCUCCAUCUCCCCAGCCUAUGCUCUCGGCUGCUCUGCCAUUCAAAAGCACGGACAGGCCCCACGGUCCAGGCACGGACCAUCAGGCUGGCAGGCUGGGAACCUGAAAUGUUAGAGCUGAAAGGCCGUCCCUUCCAACAGUGGUAAGGGGGGCAGAGUCUGGAUCCGAGAAUUGCAAGUCUGCUUGUGUCAGUUAUUUUGGGACUUUGGGUAAGUUU